rnacentral:lncRNA from 1 species
GCCCUUGCCUCAAGACGCCAUUACGAUCUCUUCGGAGAGACCGCCCGCAGGCCGCCCGAUCCCCCGACGCGCUUAACUCCCCCCCGCCUCCCCCUCCCAUUUACCUAGAGAUCCCGAGGGAGCGAAACUCCGACGGCUUCGAGAUAGGUGCUGGGGAGAAACGGAGGAUAAUGGCGUCUUCCGUCCUCUCGCCUCAAGCACCCUCUUCCUCUCCUCUCGCACACGCUAGUGCCGAGGGGCUAACAUCUCACGAGAUUUAAGGGAAUCUCGCGCGCUCAUGCGCGCGCAGCAAAGGGGUGGGGGAGGAGGGGUUCGAAGCCCGAGAUCUGGCGCGCCAAGGGAGAAGCCGAGGGCGCGAAAGUCGGGGAGGGAGGUGGAGGGGGGCGCGGAGGGAGCGGUCGCGGUGAGCCGAGGACGGGCCUUUGCCUGCUCCUUCCCGCACCCUCUUCCCCCUCUCUCCUCCCCCAGCGCAGUGGUGGCGGUUCUUUUCAAAUUGGAACAUUUUAAGUGCUCUCUAGGGUAUCUGAGUUCAUCACCUCUUAAUACAACGCAGAAUGGAGAUACAGCGUGAUCUAGUGGAUAGAGCCACAGGCCUGCGAGUCAUAAAGUCAUGGGUUCUAAUCCCGGCUCCACCACUUGUCUGCUCUGUGCCCUUGGGUAAGUCACGUCUUCUGCUCUGUGCCUCAGCUACCUCAUCUGUAAAAUGGGGAUUAAGCUCGUGAGCUCCACGUGGGACAGAGACUGUGUCCAACCUGACUUUUAUCCACCCCAGCGCUUAGUGGCAUAUAGUAAGCGCUUAACAAAUACCAUCAUCAUUAUUAUUAGUAGUAGUAGUGCAACUCCCUUCCCUAAAAUAAAAAUUAGCAAGUGUGUAGCAGAAGUUCAUUUGGCCUCUAUGGACCUCUGAUCGCACAUAUGUUGGAGAAGGGCGGUGGUCUACGACUCUGAUUCCACAGGAUGCGAGAAACCCUACAAUGAAAGUCCAGGUCUGGUGUCUCUCUAGAGAAAGGAAAGAGCAAUUCCUGUGCACAGGCAAGGAUGGGUUUCUCAGCUGUCUGUCGGGCUGGCAGCUCGAAAUAGCCCAACUGCUCUGCUUCAACCCCGGUGGAAGAGCACCAAAGAGCAAUGCCACACUAUUUUAAGUCAUAACGCCCACCCACACCUGUUGGAAUCGUCGUGCAACCCAGUGUACACGAUACCGACAGUUGUACACCCCUUAAUUUUAGAAUCCCCUGGUGAGUGGGUCAGAAUAUGUUUAUAAUUUACUGAUGUUAAUGUCGGUCGGGGCAGGGAACGUGCCUACCAGCUCUGUUAUAUUGUACUCUCCCAAGCACCGAGUACGGUGCUCUGCACACAGGAAACACUCAAUAAAUAUCAUUGAUUGUGAUAGGCUACUUAAUGGCCCUUGGUUCUCAUGGCCUCAUCUGAGCAUCAGAGCUGUUAAGGAAUGUUUCUCCAGGCAGCUUUUAAGUCUCAUUGUCAGGGGCCACGUACCAAACAGGGUAGAACAAUGACAUCUCUUAGGUUCUUCGAAUUCCAACCUCCCACUGCCUCCUCCUCCACCUUUCACCCCCCCCCCGACGUUUUAUUCCAGUAGCAAGUCCUCAACAGAUCAAUUCUAUUUAUUGAGUGCUUACUGUGUGCAGAGCACUGCAUUAACUGCUUGGGAGAGUAUAAUAUAACAGAGUCGGUAGACACGUCCCUGCCCACAAGGAACUUACCGGUUUCAGAUUCAAAAUCAUAUCAGGGAGGAAGGUGUUGUUUUUGUUGGCUUCUUAUUUCUGUAAAAAGGGCAACGUAUCUUUGUAUCUUAUCGUUCUUGUGGUCGUAGAGUGUGUCUGCCAACUCUGUUAUAUUGUGCUCUCCCAAGUGCUCAGGACAGUGUCCUGUACAUAGCGGUCCAUAAAUACGAUCGAUUGAUUUCCAUCUGAUUUCCAUGUCCGCAAAUAAAGAACUAUCAAAUCCACUUUGUGAGAUUGUUGAAAAGUACUCUCAGGUCAAUAAACCUGAACUUGAAGUUUAACAUUACAUGGGCUUCCAAUGAUCAUACAGUGCUAAAUACUAAUCAAGUGUAUUUAUUGAGCGUUUACUGUAUGCAGAGCACUUGGGAGAAUGCACUAUAACAGAGUUGGUAGUCACGUUCCCUGCCCACAAUGCUGCCUUUUAAAAAUCGUCUCCCUGAUUCUCCAGUUUCUCCCAACUUUGCUUAUCUCUCCUGUCUCCCGUUUUCCCCAAGUCAGAUUUAGUGACUUGUCGCUCCCAUAAUUGUGGUAUUUGUUAAGCACUUACUAUGUGCCAAGCACUAUACUAAGCACUGGGGUUGAUACAAGAUAAUCAGGUCCCAUAUGGGGCUCACAGUCUAAAUAGGAGGGAGAACGGGCAUGGAAUCCCCAUUUUGCAUAUGAGGGAACUGAGACUCAGAGAAGUUAAGUGACUUGCCCAAGGUCACACAGCAGACAAGUGGCAGAGCCAGGACUAAUUGCUUCUCCCAUCUUCAUCUCUGGAUGCAAAUAUUAAUUCAUUCAAUUGUAUUUAUUGAGCGCGUACUAUCUGCAGAGCACUGCACUAAGCGCUUGAAAUGUACAAUUCGGCAGCAGAUAGAGACAAUCCCUGCCCAGUAAUGGACUCACAGUCUAAAUGUAUGUUGUGGGCAGGGAAUGCCACUGUUUGUUAGAGAAGCAGCGUAGCUCAGUGGAAAGAGCCUGGGAUCCGGAGUCAGAGGUCAUGGGUUCGAGUUCUGGCUCUGCCACUUGUCAGCUGUGUGACUGUGGGCAAGUCACUUAACUUCUCUGUGCCUCAGUUACCUCAUCUGUAAAAUGGAGAGUAACUGUGAGCCUCACGUGGGACAACCUGAUGACCCUGUAUCUACCCCAGUACUGUUCUAAGAACAGUGCUCUGCACAUAGUAAGCGCUUAACAAAUACCAACAUUAUUAUUAUACUUUCCCAAGCACCUAGUACAGUGCUCUGCACACAGUAAGCGCUUAAUAAAUACGACUGAAUGAAUGAAUAUUGCAUUUUCUUAUUCUUUUUUCAACACUCGCCUCUCUCUACCGCUUACGUCAAUGACGAGCUCGGCCGCUCGUCAGCUGUGUGACGUUGGGCAAGUCACUUAACUUCUAGGUGCCUCAGUUACCUCAUCUGUAAAAUGAGGAUUAAGACUGAGCCCUACGUGGGACAACCUAAUUCCCCUGUGUCUACCUCAGCGCUUAGAAUGGUGCUCGGCACAUAGUAAGCACUUAACAAAUGCCAACAUUAUUAUUAUUAUUAUUGUCAAUCUCUGUCUCCUCCUUCCUCUACUUUCUCUUUUUGCCCCGCUUUUCCCCAUCUUCUUCCUCUUUCUUUAUCUUCUUAUGCCCCCUCACAUUUCUCCUGUCUUUCUCCAAUCUAGCCUGAACUGUGGACGAGAAUGUUGGGGAGGAUCUCAAGCUGGUGCCAUUGAACUAGUGAGUAUCCAAACUGGGGAUGGUGGAGGGAGGGUUCAAACUAUGUGGGAGGGCUAGAGGGUGGCUCCGAUUGUAAAGGAAAAGCGUGAAGAGGGGCCACGUCGGCUUGGGGAGGCCCAGGUGAAAGGAAGAGAGGACCACCGUGGUCUGGCUUUGGCUAACCAUAGUGUUGCUAACAUCGUGCCUUCAGUCAGUCAGUGGUGUUUAUUGAGCCGCUUGUACUAAGUGCUUAGGAGGGUUCAAUACAAUAGAGUCGGUAGACCCUACCCACAAUCUAGUGGAAGAGACAGACGUUAAAUUAUGGCUCAGGUGAGCAGCAGAGUACUUGUCAGCUGUGUGACUGUGGGCAAGUCACUUAACUUCUCUGUGCCUCAGUUCCCUCAUCUGUAAAAUGGGGAUUAAGACUGUGAGCCCCACGUGGGACAACCUGAUUCCCCUGUGUUUACCCCAGCGCUUAGAACAGUGCUCUGCACAUAGUAAGCGCUUAACAAAUACCAACAUUAUUAUUAUUAUUAUAAAGAUAUGGACAUAAGGGUGGGGUGUCAAGCCAUGCCUGGCUUAUAACACUGACUGCCAAGGAGUCAAAGGGUCAAGGCUGAGGAAUAGUGGGGUCUGAACCUUGUCUUCUCAGAGCUCUCAAUGGCAACAAGGCGUGGUUAGGGAGAGGCAGGAAGAGGGUGCUGAGGAGAGUGAGUAGAGGGAGGUGGUGAUGGCGGAGUGGGGGUGUGUGUAUGUGAUGGGGAGAGGCACAUUUCCUCAUUGGCUGGGGUCUUUAGUCUCCAUCUAGUUGCCAUGGAAGAAGGAAGGUUGGAAGAGUUUGUGGUUGGAGAGAGGGCCAGAUGAACGGAUGGACAAGCAGUAAGGAAAUUAUAGCAAAUUACGUCUAAGCCUUAAUGCACAUUACUCUAUAGAGCACUGUAUUUUAGAUGAUUGUAUUUUGAUUUGCCUCCUCGUAAGUUUUCUCAGUACCAGAAGAAAGGUAAAUUUAUGGAAUAGAAAACAGACAUUCAUUCAUUCAAACAUAUUUAUUGAGCGCCUACUGUGUGCAGAGCACUGUACUAAGCGCUGUAGCCUACAAUGUUUGUUUAUAAUACCUUUGUUUAAAAGUUUUUGUUUGCUUUUCAGGACAUUCUU